AGCCCCAGGGGGAGGGUCUCUGGAGGUGGAUCCUUUGGCAGAUAAUUGAGCUUUUGUGAGGUCAUGAAGGUGGAGCCCCCAUGAUUGAAUCAGUGUCCCUAGAAGGGGACGAGAGCAGAGUCUCUCUCUGUCCCCAGUGAAACACAGCAAGAAGGCACCAUGGGCAAGCCAGGAAGGUGGAUGUUCUCACCAGACACAGACUGUGCCGCCACCUUGAUCCUGGACUUUUCCAGGCUCCCAGAACUGUGAGAAAUUAAGUUUCUGGUGCUCGAGCCCACCCAAUCUGUGGUAUGAUGGUAUAACUGUCCUAAGUCGACUAACACCAUUUUCCAUCAAUUUAUCCUAAUUUACCAAAGCUUCGGUCCAUGACAGGUUGGAGGGUCCAUGACAGGUUGGAUGGAGAGUCCUUCAUCCCAGGUAGUGUGGGAAGCUCUGACCUGUACCAUCAGCCCGGGUCCAGGAGCCGGAGUGCUGGGCUCCUGCUGCUGCUCCACUCUUGGCUCUGGGUCCCGGCUUCAUCGUAUGCAAAGUGAGGGUGUGCAGUGAUUGGACCCAGCCAAUGUGGCUGUUCAGCACAUGUUUGCUUCUUUUUGUGAAUACAAGGGGCUAUGGACACCUCUCUCCCCAGUCUCACCAUUGGGCAGGGUGUCCCAAGGAAAGCAGGUCUUUGAAGAAAUUCUGGCAGCCAGACACCAACACUCACUGACAUGUCUGCACAAAACAGUCUGCAAGCCUGGAAGAGUCCCACAUGGUCCUCAGACACUCGGACACACAGCUCGUGUGAAAGGUCUGAGAAGAAAGAUGGAAGUCAGUUUUCUAACUUCAUCAAUACCUUCAGAUCUUGGAAAUACACGGGACAUUCCCAGGUGGCAAGAUCAAGUCUUCAAAGCAGAGACAGGUCCCCACAUUUUUUUUUAAUAAUAAAUUUAUUUUUUAUUGGU